GACAGAGGCCUCAAGCGUUAGGCGGAAUCACUGGGCUUAAAGCGUGUGUAGGCGGAUCGUUAAGUGUCUUGUGAAAUCCCACGGCUCACCCGUGGAACUGCUGGGCAUACUGGCGAUCUUGAGUCCGGAAGAGGUGAGUGGAACUCCUAGUGUAGAGGUGGAAUUCGUAGAUAUUAGGAAGAACACCAGUGGCGAAGGCGGCUCACUGGUCCGGUACUGACGCUGAGGUGCGAAAGCGUGGGGAGCAAACAGG
rnacentral:rRNA from 1 species